AUCCAGCUGACGAGUCUCAGAUAGGACGAAACGCCUAUCCUGGAU
rfam:Schistosoma curassoni strain Dakar, Senegal genome assembly, scaffold: SCTD_scaffold0000730